rnacentral:tRNA from 1 species
AGAUUGGUGGCUGACAAAAGCGGAGGUCUGUAAAUCCUUAAAUGAUUAAUAUCCCAAUCUG